UGCAUCCAGCUUUUUCCUGUUCGGUAUGAUGUUGGCUGAGGAUUUGUCAUAGAUGCCUCUCAUUAUUUUGAGAGACAGAGUGGAGUACAAUGGCACGAUCUUGGCUCAACGCAACCUCUGCCUCCCGGAUUCAAGGGAUUCUUCUGCCUCGGCCUCCCAAGUACAGGUGCCCACCACCAUACCCAGUUAAUUUUUCUAUUUUUGGUAAAGAUGAGGUUUUGCCAUGUUGGCCAGGCUGGUCUCAAACUCCUGACCUCAGGUGAUCCACCCACUUCAGCCUUCCAAAGUGCUGGGAUUACAGGCAUAAGCCACCAUGCCCAGCUUAGAAACUCUAGUAUUUAACAGCAUUUUCUGGACCCAGCAGAGUGUAUGGGAAGAGCCAAUGUAUGUUAGGGCUUUUACUUCGAGCAUGGGGUACCUGGAGUUUCUGUUGUUGAUGGUAACAGUAUGAAAAACACUAAAAGGUGGAGCUGUUGCUUAUGGUCCCAUGACUAGCCACUCUGUGAACACAGGAAACUCGUUUUUUAUGCAAAAUAAUGGGAAAUAUUUUAAUCCAAAAGCAGCCAUGUUCUCCAAAAGUUUUCCAGAGAAAAUGACCAGGGAGUUGACUACAGUUAGGUGACAAAGAGUAAAAACUGCAAUCUAGGAAAAAAAGUGAGAAAUUCCUCCAAAUUGUAAUAGCAACAUGAAAAAAAAUUACAUCAAAUUUCAAAUCCA